rnacentral:rRNA from 1 species
CACGUAGGGGGCAAGCGUUGUCCGGAUUUAUUGGGCGUAAAGAGCGUGUAGGCGGUUAGGUAGGUCCGUUGUGAAAACUCGAGGCUCAACCUCGAGACGCCGAUGGAAACCAUCUAACUAGAGUCCGGAAGAGGAGAAUGGAAUUCCUGGUGUAGCGGUGAAAUGCGCAGAUAUCAGGAAGAACACCCGUGGCUAAGGCGGCUCUCUAGUACGGUACUGACGCUGAGACGCGAAAGCGUGGGGAGCGAACAGG